rnacentral:rRNA from 1 species
ACGGGAGGCAGCAGUGGGGGAUAUUGCACAAUGGGGGAAACCCUGAUGCAGCGACGCCGCGUGAGUGAAGAAGUAUUUCGGUAUGUAAAGCUCUAUCAGCAGGGAAGAAAAUGACGGUACCUGACUAAGAAGCCCCGGCUAAAUACGUGCCAGCAGCCGCGGUAGUACGUAUGGAGCAAGCGUUAUCCGGAUUUACUGGGUGUAAAGGGAGCGUAGACGGUGUGGCAAGUCUGAUGUGAAAGCUUGGGGCUCAACUCCUGGACUGCAUUUGGAACUGUCAAGCUAGAGUAUCGGAGAGGUAAGUGGAAUUCCUAGUGUAGCGGUGAAAUGCGUAGAUAUUAGGAGGAACACCAGUGGCGAAGGCGGCUUACUGGACGAUAACUGACGUUGAGGCUCGAAAGCGUGGGGAGCAAACAGGAUUAGAUACCCUGGUA